UUUGAUUUGUUUGCUGCUUUGUUUAUCAUAUGAUUCCAAUGAUAGGGGUUAGCUAGAUAGUGGUUUGAGUUAGGGAGUGCACCUAUGAGCAUACUCUUUUCUGGUAAGCUAAAAGGAUACCCGUUACGUGCCUAGGACCAAUAGAAAUUGUUACUAUUCAAAUUUCCAUGAGCUGCUAUUCUCCGGAAUUGAUUAUGACAUGACUGUACAGUUUCGAAAGACAACAUCAAAGGUAGCUCUAAACUACAGCAUUUGGCAAAUGAUAUACCUAGGAUAAACCCAACUCUUGAUAGUCAACAGAAGGGUGGACAAUAAUGAUUGUGAUAUGGCUUUAUUAUGGCUUUGUUGAUUCUGCCUACUGUUAAGUAACAUAACCACAUCUACCAUCAAUAUAAAAGAUUAUAUGAAAGAAUAUGAAAGAAUAUGAAAGAUUAUAUGAAAGAUUAUAUUUUCCAAAAGCACAAAGAAAGUGGUAACAUCUGACCCGGACCCGACCCGAACCUGGACCCGAUCCGAACCUGACUCGGACCAGACACGACCCAAUCCGAAUGACCCGUUGGGUCAAAAAUUAUAAUCAUGGACCCGACCCGACCCGACCCAAUAUUUAAUUAGGUUGGGUCUGGAUCCAAAAUUAGGAUCCGAAUAAAAAAUCGGGUCGGGUUAGGGUCACUCAAGACUCGAUCCGACUCGACCCAUUUGCACCCCUACAUACAAACAUAAUAUAUUACCUCAAAUUGAGGCUGGUAGAUUCCUUAUUGAGCAUAUAUACAAAUUUAUCUAAUGCACUCCAGACCCAACUUUGUCUGUAUAUUUGAUCUUGAGAAGACCAUCCACAAUUGACUCAAUCAAAGCACAAGAACAUAUCAAAUAUAUCUGCAUAGACCUCUUAGGUCAAACGAUAUAUAAACUAAUUGUGUUGAAUAUUCUUCUCAACAUCAAUGAUUACUUUCAGAAGGUAUUCAUAUU
rnacentral:lncRNA from 1 species